rnacentral:rRNA from 1 species
AUUGAACGCUGGCGGCAUGCUUUACACAUGCAAGUCGAACGGCAGCGCGGGCUUCGGCCUGGCGGCGAGUGGCGAACGGGUGAGUAAUACAUCGGAACGUGCCCAGUAGUGGGGGAUAGCUCGGCGAAAGCCGGAUUAAUACCGCAUACGACCUGAGGGUGAAAGCGGGGGUCUUCGGACCUCGCGCUAUUGGAGCGGCCGAUGGCAGAUUAGCUAGUUGGUGGGGUAAAGGCCUACCAAGGCGACGAUCUGUAGCUGGUCUGAGAGGACGACCAGCCACACUGGGACUGAGACACGGCCCAGACUCCUACGGGAGGCAGCAGUGGGGAAUUUUGGACAAUGGGCGAAAGCCUGAUCCAGCAAUGCCGCGUGUGUGAUGAAGGCCUUCGGGUUGUAAAGCACUUUUGGCGGGAAAGAAAAGGACUGUGCCAAUACCACGGUUCGAUGACGGUACCCGCAGAAUAAGCACCGGCUAACUACGUG